GCGGAAGUGGCGGAAUCGGCAGACGCGCAUGUUUGAGGGGCAUGUGGCCGCGAGGCUAUGGGGGUUCAAGUCCCCCCUUCCGCACCA
rnacentral:tRNA from 1 species